UGGGAGGGGGGCUUGCCCCCGAUGGCAGUGUGUCAGCCAAGAGUGACUAACCUGAUACACCGCUAUCGGGGGCAAGCCCCCUCCCAC
rnacentral:misc_RNA from 1 species